rnacentral:rRNA from 1 species
GAUGAACGCUGGCGGCAUGCUUUACACAUGCCAGUCGGACGGGAAGUGGUGUUUCCAGUGGCGGUCGGGUGAGUAACGCGUAAGAACCUGCCCUUGGGAGGGGAACAACAGCUGGAAACGGCGGCUAAUACCCCGUAGGCUGAGGAGCGAAAGGAGGAAUCCGCCCAAGGAGGGGCUCGCGUCUGAUUAGCUAGUUGGUGGGGUAAUAGGUUACCAAGGCGGUGAUUAGUAGCUGGUCCGGGCGGAUGAUCAGACACACUGCGACUGAGACAAGGCCCAGACUGGUACGGGGAGAAGGCGUAGAGUAUAUCGGGCGACGGGAGUGGGGAAGUUCCAGCAAUGCGGGGUAGCCUGACGGGGCAAUGCCGUGUGGAAGUAAAAUUGCUAGGGGUCAAGAGCAUCUUGUCCAGGAGAAGAAACAAUGACGGUAUCUGAAGAAUAAGCACCGGCUAACUCCGUG